GAUAAACGCUGGCGGCGUGCCUAACACAUGCAAGUCGAACGAUCCCGCAAGGGAGAGUGGCGGAAGGGUGAGUAACACGUGGAAUCUACCUCCUCGCAGGGAACAACCUCUCGAAAGAGAGGCUAAUACCCAAAGGGUCAGAAAUGAUCAGAGUCGAAAGGCGUGAGGAGAGGAGCCCGCGGCCCAAUCAGCUAGUUGGUGAGGUAAUGGCUUACCAAGGCUACGACGGGUAGGGAUCUGAGAGGAUGUCCCCCACACUGGAACUGAAACACGGUCCAGACGCCUACGGGUGGCAGCAGUGAGGAAUAUUGGACAAUGGGCGAAAGCCCGAUCCAGCAACGCCGCGU
rnacentral:rRNA from 1 species